UGCUCUGUGUAAUUAUUUAGGGUUCAACCUGCUCAAUGAUUAUUAAAUAGCCGCAGUACAUUGACUGUGCAAAGGUAGCAUAAUCAAUUGGCUUAUAAUUGAAGUCUCGUAUGAAUGGGAAUUUGGGGGAUAACUGUCUCACCCAAGUUAUAUAAAAAUUACUUAGUGAGUGAAAAGUCUCAUAUAUUGAAGAAAGACGAGAAGACCCUAGAAAUUUUUUAUAAGUAUGUUAAAUAUAAUCUAUUUUGUUGGGGCGACAUAGUAACAGUUAACUUACUAUAUAAUAUGCUAUUUAUAAAUUGAAAGAAUAAAUUACUCUAGGGAUAACAGCAUUAUUCGUUUAUGAGUUUGUGACCUCGAUGUUGGACUAGGAAAUAAUCUAUCUAGAAGAUAAAUUAAAAGGCUCUGUUCGAGCUUAUUCUCCUAC
rnacentral:rRNA from 1 species